CCGCCCUCGCCGCCACCUCCUCCUCCCCGUCCCCGGCCCCUCCCGAUCCACCUCCUCCCCGUCCUCUCCCACCCACCGCCGACCUCGUCGUCCUCCUCACCGAGACACCGACGCCGACCUCGUCCCUCCCCCCCUACCCUAGCGUCGUGCCCUCCCCGCCAGCGGGAGAUGGCGACAUGCGGGAGACGGCCAAGACGGCAGCCUGGAGCGUUUGCUCCUGCAAGCCCAGCAACGGCGUCGCCUCCCUCCGUGAUGACAGCCUCGACACGUACUGAUAGAACCCCUUUGAGCGAGGCUGUAGAAUGGUGUGCUGAGACGCUUCUUCUCGUGUUUGGCCACAAUGAGACGGCUCAGAUCUGACCGAUCUGGCCGCUCCUCUUACUCAGCCGGCACCCGCUUCUCUAAUGGACGGGUUCGUCGCAGGACCUGACCUGUUCGUCAAGGAGGAGAUGGGACUCGGCAAGGCACGCUCCAUCAACACCAAGAGCAAGAGGAGACCCCUUCAUGGCCGGCCCUCAAGCAAAGCAAAGAUCAAAAUCCAGUCAGUGAAGUUAACAAGGAAGUAUCUGAGAAGGGUUUCCUCCGAGCUCAAGGCCACACAAGCAUUACCUGGCAGUAUGCUUCAGGCAUGCGUUUCUUGUGGACAAGAUUGAACGCUUCGAGACGGCCGUCAGCAAACGCGCCGUAGAGAUGGCCAUGGGUACAUACAGGUUAAUUCUGCAGCUCCGGCGCCCUGAUGGCUGGGAUUCUAGUGUUUUCUGUUUUGAUGCUGUGAGCCCCGCCAUGAUUGGUUCUGUUGCAGGAUUUGGUUCGAUUGAGAUUUGUUUAGGUCGUGUGGAUUAGGUCGUAUAAUUCUAGCACUGUGUACUAGUAGAGAUUUAAUCUAAUGACGACGGGACAUGCUCUCUUUUCUUUAUGAUGUGUUAAUAGGAUACCGUAAACGUCGGCUGCCGACAAUCAUAUCAUAGUCUCAGUCAGUUCAUUUUCUCUGUGGGGAAUGAAUUCUUAGCUGCUGCAAGUUUGGCAAAUAGACACCGUACUCGUUUUUCUGUGUAAACAUAGUUAGCACCUCUGUUUUUGAAGUAGUUCCUUACUUACCUCUGUUUUUGAAGUAGUUCCUUACUUACCUCUGUGUAAACUGAAUUUGGUUAAGUUAAAAAAACUGCUUAUUUGACAGUUUUGGGCAGCGAGCUUCUAACUGAAAAACGAGUUUGUUAUGCUCAUAAUUUCAAGUUGGCCUGUACAUAUGAGUUGUAAAGCAUGUUCUAAAGUUCCCGUAGAGUACUUAUUUGCUUCGUUUGGAUGUAUGGUUUGAGAGCAGCCAUCUAUUUUAGUUUUCUGUCCAGAAAUAUAGUAGAGUUUUUCUGUGUAAACAUAGUUAGCACCUCUGUUUAUGAAGUAGUUCCUUACUUACAUCUGUUUUUGAAGUAGUUCCUUACCUCUGUGUAAACUGAAUUUGGUUCAGUUAAAAAACUGCACCACCUGACAGUUUUGGGCAGCGAGCUUCUAACUGAAAAACGAGUUCGUUAUGCUCAUAAUUUCAAGUUGGCCUCUACAUAUGAGUUGUAAAGCAUGUUAUAAGGUUUCCGUAGAGUACUUAUUUGCUUCGUUUGGAUGUACGGUUUGAGAGCAGCCGUCUAUUUAGUUUGCUGUCCAGAAAUAUAGUAUAGUUUGUAAAAGCAACCAAUUCAUGGUAAGAGCUACUUGGUGAGGCUGAUGCACAUAGCUACUUUCAGUACCUUGUUAACAGUGUUGAGGACAAGCUAAAUCCUAUAUCAUGGUCCUGUUCUUGUAAACAUUGUGUAAAGCUAAAAUUCUUCUGUGUCUUGCUCUUUUGCUGGUGCCACUAUACAUGUUAGAUUCGUAGAUGUACUUGUUUCCAUCUCAAGUUACUUGGGUGUCAUUCAUAUGUACAUAAGAUAAUCUUAUUGCAAAAAGAUCUUCUAUAUAAAUUCUGUUGGCUAAAGAAAUUUUGUGGCAGCUAGGAUUUUGAAUUGUACUUAGUUAUGUGAUUUACCCAUGUUCGUGCUAAUUGGCCAAUACAUGCUUUUCUGUUACUUUUAAUAUUUCCAGAACAGUUUGCUUGGUCCUUCAUAUCUAAAGCUUGCAUGUACUGUAGAAGCUCUACUUUAUGCUAAUACCUGCAUGUGUAACAUUUUUCAUGGCAUACUUCUAAAUGGACAAGUACAUGCGACGUCCAGCGUCAACGAUGAUGCGGACCAUAUGCUCAAGUGCAGCCCCAUCCAUCGCAUCGACACAAAGUAAGAUGUUUUGCAUCAGCCUAUCAUUGCUAAGGAAGAAGCAGUACUGGAAGAAACUACAUGUUUUCUUGUUGUGAAGCACUAGAUAGUUCUAUUUAUUCUUUCAUGUUCUAGAGUAUUUCAGCAGCUGAAAUGCUUGAAUACGUAAUGUUGUAGGUUGCUUGGAUCUGUAUAAAAUACGGAUGUGAUGGAAAUUUGUAGAAUGUGAGUUUUGAGAUAUUUCUGUAAUAUUCAGCUAAUUGGUGGUGAUUCACAUUGUUAUUCAAUCUGGUUUGAAAAUGUU